rnacentral:rRNA from 1 species
GCACAAGCAGCGGAGCGUGUGGUUAAUUCGAUGCUACACGAAGAACCUUACCAGGGUUUGACAUGCAAGUGGUAGGAAUCUGAAAGGGACCGACCCUUCGGGGAGCUUGCACAGGUGCUGCAUGGCUGUCGUCAGCUCGUGUCGUGAGAUGUUCGGUUAAGUCCGCUAACGAGCGCAACCCUCACUGUGUGUUAUAUGUGUCACACGGGACUGCCGGUUUUAAGCCGGAGGAAGGUGGGGAUGACGUCAAGUCAGCAUGGCCUUUAUAUCCUGGGCUACACACACGCUACAAUGGUCGGUACAAUAGGUUGCCAAGCCGCGAGGCGGAGCCAAUCCACAAAGCCGGCCUCAGUUCAGAUUGUAGGCUGCAACUCGCCUGCAUGAAGAUGGAGUUGCUAGUAACCGCAGGUCAGCAAUACUGCGGUGAAUACGUUCCCGGGUCUU